rnacentral:rRNA from 1 species
GUAGGUGGCAAGCGUUGUCCGGAAUUAUUGGGCGUAAAGCGCGCGCAGGCGGGUCCUUUAAGUCUGAUGUGAAAGCCCACGGGCUCAACCGUGGAGGGUCAUUGGAAACUGGGGGACUUGAGUACAGAAGAGGAAAGCGGAAUUCCAAGUGUAGCGGUGAAAUGCGUAGAGAUUUGGAGGAACACCAGUGGCGAAGGCGGCUUUCUGGUCUGUAACUGACGCUGAGGCGCGAAAGCGUGGGGAGCAAACAGGAUUAGAUACCCUGGUAGUCCACGCCGUAAACGAUGAGUGCCAAGUGUUAGGGGGUUUCCGCCCCUUAGUGCUGCAGCUAACGCAUUAAGCACUCCGCCUGGGGAGUACGGCCGCAAAGGCUG